rnacentral:rRNA from 1 species
GGUUAAGCGACUAAGCGUACACGGUGGAUGCCCUGGCAGUCAGAGGCGAUGAAGGACGUGCUAAUCUGCGAUAAGCGUCGGUAAGGUGAUAUGAACCGUUAUAACCGGCGAUUUCCGAAUGGGGAAACCCAGUGUGAUUCGUCACACUAUCAUUAACUGAAUCCAUAGGUUAAUGAGGCGAACCGGGGGAACUGAAACAUCUAAGUACCCCGAGGAAAAGAAAUCAACCGAGAUUCCCCCAGUAGCGGCGAGCGAACGGGGAGCAGCCCAGAGCCUGAAUCAGUGUGUGUGUUAGUGGAAGCGUCUGGAAAGGCGCGCGAUACAGGGUGACAGCCCCGUACACAAAAAUGCACAUGCUGUGAGCUCGAUGAGUAGGGCGGGACACGUGGUAUCCUGUCUGAAUAUGGGGGGACCAUCCUCCAAGGCUAAAUACUCCUGACUGACCGAUAGUGAACCAGUACCGUGAGGGAAAGGCGAAAAGAACCCCGGCGAGGGGAGUGAAAAAGAACCUGAAACCGUGUACGUACAAGCAGUGGGAGCACAGAGCAAUCUGUGUGACUGCGUACCUUUUGUAUAAUGGGUCAGCGACUUAUAUUCUGUAGCAAGGUUAACCGAAUAGGGGAGCCGAAGGGAAACCGAGUCUUAACUGGGCGUUAAGUUGCAGGGUAUAGACCCGAAACCCGGUGAUCUAGCCAUGGGCAGGUUGAAGGUUGGGUAACACUAACUGGAGGACCGAACCGACUAAUGUUGAAAAAUUAGCGGAUGACUUGUGGCUGGGGGUGAAAGGCCAAUCAAACCGGGAGAUAGCUGGUUCUCCCCGAAAGCUAUUUAGGUAGCGCCUCGUGAAUUCAUCUCCGGGGGUAGAGCACUGUUUCGGCAAGGGGGUCAUCCCGACUUACCAACCCGAUGCAAACUGCGAAUACCGGAGAAUGUUAUCACGGGAGACACACGGCGGGUGCUAACGUCCGUCGUGAAGAGGGAAACAACCCAGACCGCCAGCUAAGGUCCCAAAGUCAUGGUUAAGUGGGAAACGAUGUGGGAAGGCCCAGACAGCCAGGAUGUUGGCUUAGAAGCAGCCAUCAUUUAAAGAAAGCGUAAUAGCUCACUGGUCGAGUCGGCCUGCGCGGAAGAUGUAACGGGGCUAAACCAUGCACCGAAGCUGCGGCAGCGACGCUGAUGCGUUGUUGGGUAGGGGAGCGUUCUGUAAGCCUGUGAAGGUGUGCUGUGAGGCAUGCUGGAGGUAUCAGAAGUGCGAAUGCUGACAUAAGUAACGAUAAAGCGGGUGAAAAGCCCGCUCGCCGGAAGACCAAGGGUUCCUGUCCAACGUUAAUCGGGGCAGGGUGAGUCGACCCCUAAGGCGAGGCCGAAAGGCGUAGUCGAUGGGAAACAGGUUAAUAUUCCUGUACUUGGUGUUACUGCGAAGGGGGGACGGAGAAGGCUAUGUUGGCCGGGCGACGGUUGUCCCGGUUUAAGCGUGUAGGCUGGUUUUCCAGGCAAAUCCGGAAAAUCAAGGCUGAGGCGUGAUGACGAGGCACUACGGUGCUGAAGCAACAAAUGCCCUGCUUCCAGGAAAAGCCUCUAAGCAUCAGGUAACAUCAAAUCGUACCCCAAACCGACACAGGUGGUCAGGUAGAGAAUACCAAGGCGCUUGAGAGAACUCGGGUGAAGGAACUAGGCAAAAUGGUGCCGUAACUUCGGGAGAAGGCACGCUGAUAUGUAGGUGAAGUCCCUCGCGGAUGGAGCUGAAAUCAGUCGAAGAUACCAGCUGGCUGCAACUGUUUAUUAAAAACACAGCACUGUGCAAACACGAAAGUGGACGUAUACGGUGUGACGCCUGCCCGGUGCCGGAAGGUUAAUUGAUGGGGUCAGCGCAAGCGAAGCUCUUGAUCGAAGCCCCGGUAAACGGCGGCCGUAACUAUAACGGUCCUAAGGUAGCGAAAUUCCUUGUCGGGUAAGUUCCGACCUGCACGAAUGGCGUAAUGAUGGCCAGGCUGUCUCCACCCGAGACUCAGUGAAAUUGAACUCGCUGUGAAGAUGCAGUGUACCCGCGGCAAGACGGAAAGACCCCGUGAACCUUUACUAUAGCUUGACACUGAACAUUGAGCCUUGAUGUGUAGGAUAGGUGGGAGGCUUUGAAGUGUGGACGCCAGUCUGCAUGGAGCCGACCUUGAAAUACCACCCUUUAAUGUUUGAUGUUCUAACGUGGACCCGUAAUCCGGGUUGCGGACAGUGUCUGGUGGGUAGUUUGACUGGGGCGGUCUCCUCCUAAAGAGUAACGGAGGAGCACGAAGGUUGGCUAAUCCUGGUCGGACAUCAGGAGGUUAGUGCAAUGGCAUAAGCCAGCUUGACUGCGAGCGUGACGGCGCGAGCAGGUGCGAAAGCAGGUCAUAGUGAUCCGGUGGUUCUGAAUGGAAGGGCCAUCGCUCAACGGAUAAAAGGUACUCCGGGGAUAACAGGCUGAUACCGCCCAAGAGUUCAUAUCGACGGCGGUGUUUGGCACCUCGAUGUCGGCUCAUCACAUCCUGGGGCUGAAGUAGGUCCCAAGGGUAUGGCUGUUCGCCAUUUAAAGUGGUACGCGAGCUGGGUUUAGAACGUCGUGAGACAGUUCGGUCCCUAUCUGCCGUGGGCGCUGGAGAACUGAGGGGGGCUGCUCCUAGUACGAGAGGACCGGAGUGGACGCAUCACUGGUGUUCGGGUUGUCAUGCCAAUGGCACUGCCCGGUAGCUAAAUGCGGAAGAGAUAAGUGCUGAAAGCAUCUAAGCACGAAACUUGCCCCGAGAUGAGUUCUCCCUGAC